UUAACUCUAAUUUGAAUGGAGUUGGAACGUUUGCCUACGUUUGCCGCUAAGGGUGCUCUUCCAACUGCAUAUCAUAUCUUGGAAA
rnacentral:pre_miRNA from 1 species